rnacentral:rRNA from 1 species
UACCAGCUCUCCGAGUGGUAGGGAUGAUUAUUGGGCUUAAAGCGUCCGUAGCCGGCUUAGCAAGUCUCCUGUUAAAUUCAGCGACCUAAUCGUUGAGCCGCGGGAGAUACUACUAGGCUAGGAGGCGGGAGAGGCCGACGGUAUUCUCGGGGUAGGGGUGAAAUCCUAUAAUCCCGGGAGGACCACCAGUGGCGAAGGCUGUCGGCUAGAACGCGCUCGACGGUGAGGGACGAAAGCUGGGGGAGCGAACCGGAUUAGAUACCCGGGUAGUCCCAGCUGUAAACGAUGCGGGCUAGGUGUUGGGGUGGCUACGAGCCACUUCAGUGCCGCAGGGAAGCCAUUAAGCCCGCCGCCUGGGGAGUACGGCCGCAAGGCUGAAACUUAAAGGAAUUGGCGGGGAGCACCACAAGGCGUGAAGCUUGCGGUUC